GGCACCAGGAUUGAUCUUGUUACAGAGGAUGGUUAGGCAUGGAGCGUGUUGGAAUGAGGAUGCUCCAACAGAAAAAACUAAUGUUGCAACGGAAAACCACAUGGUGUCGUUUAAAACCGGGAAGUUACAGGCACAGUCGGUGGCUCAGCAUAGAAAAUAUUAAGGUAUGGCAAAGAUAGUUUUGACAUUGCACUUUCCCAUACCCUUUCCUUUUGGUUCCAUAUUCAGUUAAUAAUUCACUGUGCUUUAAAAUCAACCAAGCAAAUUAAUUGAUAACUAAAAAUUUGAACAAACAACAAUCAACAGAGAGGAAGAAAAUCAGGUUUUUUCUAAUAAUAGGAAAAUCAGGUUUCAGAGGGCCUUACUCUGCGUCUGUGCCGAACUGCAGCUGUAGACUUGGAUGCAAUUGUGGAAGGCUGCAACUGCAAGUCACAACUUGGAUCUGGCCAUCAGGACAGUUUGGGCGAAGUUGCAGAGGGCUGAAGACUUGCUUACUUAAAGGAGCAGAGGCAGAGCGAUGUCGUCGCCGGUAUCACAGUACCAGUUCGACGGUGAAGUCACGAUCGACUCGAAGGGUCGCUGGCUUUCUACGUCCAGAAGGAAAACAAACGGACGGAGUGCUGUAACUCUAAUUCUGUAUUCUCUAAUAAAACCGGAAAGCCCAUAUAGCUAUACGUUCAGCACAAAGGCCCAAAGGCAGAUAAAAGGUUCCUGAAUUGGAGUUUCUUCUUCCUCGGUUCCUGAAUUGUAGAACCAGCAGACUUGUGAAUGGACAUAUGCUCUAGUGGUAGGGCUGUCUAGUGGGAUGCUACCCACCAAGGUUCAAACCCUAGUAACCGCACUUUUUCUUGAAAAUUUUCAGAAUUUUCAGGGUACACGCACAUGUGCGCGUUCGCUGGUACUGCAUGUUUCCCGUGCGCUGGAGGAGACGCCUCCUAAUCUCUUAUUUGCGUGCGGUAUGAGUGUGGAGUGUGUGGGUUGUGUGUGUCCAAAUUGUACCCAAUCAAAAAAAAAGAAUCAGCAGACCUUCUGCAGUUCUGCCCAUGGCUGCCGGGGGCAAUUUGGGGUGGGGAAUUGGGGAUCCACGGCAGAGUGAAGGUAUGGCGAGCGCCCUAUCCAAUUUUGUAGAAUGACCAUCUUGCAUCAUGUCUUAACCUGAAACUGAACUGAGCGAAGUGGUUGAAAAUUUACUCACAUGCACUUCUUUUUAUCUGAAUUUGAGUGGAUGGUACACUCCAUGUAGUGUAGAUGUAUAAUCUUGCUGGACUGAUUACAUUGAAUAAAUUGUGUUGAACCAAUAAAAUUAAAUAGUACAUGCUUGCAUAGUUUCCUUAUUGUCAGCUAGGUUGAAAGUUUGGUGGAUUUAAUGAGGUUCGUCCCAAACCAGCCAACUAUUCUUUUUAUGAAAGAAAGGUUUCAUAAAAAGAUAAAAACGUUAGACCAGCAGUGAACAUGAAUGUUCAUUGAUCACCUUUGGUUCCCAGGACUUACAUAUUGGUUA
rnacentral:lncRNA from 1 species